CAUGCAAGUCGAGCGGAUGAGUGGAGCUUGCUCCAUGAUUCAGCGGCGGACGGGUGAGUAAUGCCUAGGAAUCUGCCCGGUAGUGGGGGAUAACGUCCGGAAACGGGCGCUAAUACCGCAUACGUCCUACGGGAGAAAGCAGGGGACCUUCGGGCCUUGCGCUAUCGGAUGAGCCUAGGUCGGAUUAGCUAGUUGGUGAGGUAAUGGCUCACCAAGGCGACGAUCCGUAACUGGUCUGAGAGGAUGAUCCAGUCACACUGGAACUGAGACACGGUCCAGACUCCUACGGGAGGCAGCAGUGGGGAAUAUUGGACAAUGGGCGAAAGCCUGAUCCAGCCAUGCCGCGUGUGUGAAGAAGGUCUUCGGAUUGUAAAGCACUUUAAGUUGGGAGGAAGGGUGUAGAUUAAUACUCUGCAAUUUGACGUACCGACAGAAA
rnacentral:rRNA from 1 species